AUUGAACGCUGGCGGCAGGCCUAACACAUGCAAGUCGAGCGAGCGGCGGACGGGUGAGUAAUGUCUGGGAAACUGCCUGAUGGAGGGGGAUAACUACUGGAAACGGUAGCUAAUACCGCAUACCAUCAGCUGUGCCCAGAUGGGCUUAGCUAGUGGGUGGGGUAAUGGCUCACCUAUGCGACGCUACCUAGCUGGUCUGAGAUGAUGACCAGCCACACUGGAACUGAGACACGGUCCAGACUCCUACGGGAGGCAGCAGUGGGGAAUAUUGCACAAGGGGCGCAACGCUGAUCCAGCCAUGCCGCGUGUGUUAAGAAGGCCUUCGGGUUGUAAAGCACUUUCAGUGGGGAGGCUGUACCCUAAGAAGAAGGACCGGCUAACUCCGUGCCAGCAGCCGCGGUAAUAC
rnacentral:rRNA from 1 species